rnacentral:rRNA from 1 species
GACGAACGCUGGCGGCGUGCUUAAUACAUGCAAGUCGAACGGAAAGGCCCUGCUUUUGUGGGGUGCUCGAGUGGCGAACGGGAGAGUAACACGUGAGUAACCUGCCCUUGACUUUGGGAUAACUUCAGGAAACUGGGGCUAAUGCCGGAUAGGAGCUCCUGCUGCAUGGUGGGGGUUGGAAAGUUUGGGCGGUUGGGGAUGGACUCGCGGCUUAUCAGCUUGUUGGUGGGGGAGUGGCUUACCAAGGCUUUGACGGGUAGCCGGCCUGAGAGGGUGACCGGCCACAUUGGGACUGAGGUACGGCGCAGUCUGCUACGGGAGGCAACAGUGGGGAGUAUUGCGCAAUGGGCGGAAGCCUGAGGCGGCAGCGCCGCGUGCGGGAUGACGGCCUUCGGGUUGUGAACCGCUUUCGCCGGUGACGAAGCGUGAGUGACGGUAAUGGGUAAGGAAGCACCGGCUAACUACGUG